rnacentral:tRNA from 1 species
GGCCCCAUCGUCUAACGGCUAGGACGCCACCCUUUCACGGUGGAAAUCGGGGUUCGAUUCCCCGUGGGGUCACAA